rnacentral:tRNA from 116 species
GGCGGUGUAGCUCAGUUGGUUAGAGCACACGGUUCAUACCCGUGGCGUCACUGGUUCGAAUCCAGUCACCGCUACCA